rnacentral:rRNA from 1 species
UACGGAGGAGGCAAGCGUUAUCCGGAAUUAUUGGGCGUAAAGCGUCCGCAGGUGGCACUUCAAGUCUGCUGUCAAAGACCGGGGCUUAACCCCAGAAAGGCAGUGGAAACUGAAGUGCUAGAGUGCAGUAGGGGUAGAGGGAAUUCCCGGUGUAGCGGUGAAAUGCGUAGAUAUCAGGAGGAACACCGGUGGCGAAGGCGGCCCUCUGGACGGUG